rnacentral:rRNA from 1 species
UACGGGGGGGGCAAGCGUUGUUCGGAAUUACUGGGCGUAAAGGGCUCGUAGGCGGCCAACUAAGUCGGAUGUGAAAUCCCCAAGCUUAACUUGGGAACUGCAUCCGAUACUGGAUGGCUUGAAUCCGGGAGAGGGAUGCAGAAUUCCAGGUGUAGCGGUGAAAUGCGUAGAUAUCUGGAGGAAUACCGGUGGCGAAGGCGGCAUCCUGGACCGGCAUUGACGCUGAGGAGCGAAAGCGUGGGGAGCAAACAGG